rnacentral:rRNA from 1 species
GACGAACGCUGGCGGCGUGCCUAAUACAUGCAAGUAGAACGCACAGGAUGCACCGUAGUUUACUACACCGUAUUCUGUGAGUUGCGAACGGGUGAGUAACGCGUAGGUAACCUGCCUGGUAGCGGGGGAUAACUAUUGGAAACGGUAGCUAAUACCGCAUAAGAACAUUUACUGCAUGGUAGAUGUUUAAAAGGUGCAAAUGCAUCACUACCAGAUGGACCUGCGUUGUAUUAGCUAGUAGGUGAGGUAACGGCUCACCUAGGCGACGAUACAUAGCCGACCUGAGAGGGUGAUCGGCCACACUGGGACUGAGACACGGCCCAGACUCCUACGGGAGGCAGCAGUAGGGAAUCUUCGGCAAUGGGGGGAACCCUGACCGAGCAACGCCGCGUGAGUGAAGAAGGUUUUCGGAUCGUAAAGCUCUGUUGUUAAGGAAGAACGAGUGUGAGAAUGGAAAGUUCAUACUGUGACGGACUAACCA